rnacentral:RNase_P_RNA from 1 species
GAAGUGGGCCGGGUGAUCGCUGGCGGAUGUGGCAACACAUCGGCUGGAGGAAAGUCCGGGCUCCGCAGGACAAGGUGGUCGGUAACACCGACCGGCUGUGAGGUCAGGGAAAGUGCAACAGAAAGUAAACCGCCCGGGUUUUCCCGGGUAAGGGUGAAACGGUGAGGUAAGAGCUCACCAGCGAGCGAGGCGACUCGUUCGGCUAGGUAAACCCCACCUGGAGCAAGGCCAAGCAGAGAGGACGUUGGGCUCGUCCCGACGGUGAACUGGUCCGGUUCGCCACAACUCUCGGGUAGGCUGCGUGAGGUGUCGAGCAAUCGACAUCCCAGAUAAAUGAUCGCCGGUCGCGUCUGACGCGACAACAGAACCCGGCUUACAGGUCCGCUUCGGAG